rnacentral:ncRNA from 1 species
AGAAAGACUUAGAACGAAAAGAGUAGUAUAUUUGGAACUGACAGAGAGAGAUUGCCAUCGGCUGAAAGCAAUUUUGAGGAAAGAAUAUAUGAAGUGCAUUCGGGAGUUGGUUUGGCGAACAGACAGUAGCCGAAUUCGGGCAGCAUACGUUACAUGCAUCAAGUGAAGGAAGGAGAUUCCUUUAUUAGAGUGGAACCGCGGAUUGAACUUCGUCUCUAGA